UAUGUGAUCGUCUCUCGCAUAUCAAUAAGCGGAGGAAAAGAAACUAACAAGGAUUCCCCUAGUAACGGCGAGUGAAGCGGGAAGAGCUCAAAUUUGAAAUCUUAAAGGGUUUCCCUUUACGAAUUGUAGUUUAAAGAAGUGUUUUCUGUUGAGGUUUUGGUAAAAGUUCUUUGGAAUAGGACAUCAUAGAGGGUGAGAAUCCCGUAUUUGACCUUUACUUUCAACUUUGUGAUACACUUUCAAAGAGUCGGAUUGUUUGGGAAUGCAGUCCAAAAUGGGUGGUAAAUUUCAUCUAAAGCUAAAUAUUGGCGAGAGACCGAUAGCGAACAAGUACCGUGAGGGAAAGAUGAAAAGAACUUUGAAAGGAGAGUUAAACAGUACGUGAAAUUGUCAAGAGGGAAGCGUUUGACACCAGUGUUGUUUUUCUGAAAAUCAAUUAAAGAACUGUUUAUGCUAAGUUGUUUAGACUUUAUCAGCUAUCUGUUUAGUUUUGAGCUUUUCUUUAAUGCACUUUUCAGUUAACAAGUCAACAUCAAUUUCUUUUGCUGUAAAAAAGCUUGAGGAAGGUGGCUUGAGAUUCGUCUUAAGUGUUUAUAGCCUCUUGCCUAUGCAGUCGGAGAGAUUGAGGUCUGCAGCGUAGAUCCUUCGGGGCUAAAUGCAUUUGUGCUAAGUUAUAGCAUUUUAUAGACAACUUGUUGACUAUGAUUUGUCUUGUAGCUUACUCGCUUAUGUUAUUUUACCUACGCUUAGGAUGUUGAUCUACAGAGCGAGAGU
rnacentral:rRNA from 1 species